rnacentral:lncRNA from 1 species
AUGGUUUGUUGGAUGAUACUGGGGUAUUUCAUCCAGUCACAGGAAGAACGAAGGCACUGGAGAGUCUUCAGGGAGAACUCACUAUGGAACAAUGGAACUCAUGAUGAUUCUAGGGCAUUCUAUAAGGAGGGAACUAAGAAAAGGGACAUCAUAGGAGCCAGGAAAAUGGACCGCAACAAUGAUCAGCUGUUUUUUGGAAAAACAAAAAGCCCAAGGCUUUGGGGUACAUGUGAAGAACAUGCAAGGUCGUUGCAUAGAAGACAGGAAGAAGAGUAAGAAAGUCUGGCCAAGGAGACAGAUGGACACCCAAUUAUAUAUUGGGGCAAAACAAGCCACAGCAGAACUGAGUGACGUAAGACAAUCGCCGCUGACUGCUUGUGACUCUAGGAUUUGGCAAUCUGGGC